AAUAUCGCACAAUGGGGGCAACCCUGAUCCAGCCAUGCCGCGUGUGUGAAGAGGGUCUUCGGAGUGUAAAGCACUCUAUGGUGGGAGGGAGGGCUUUAGGUUAAUACGCAGAAGUUUUCGCGUUACCAACAGAAGGAGCACCGGCUAACUCUGUGCGAGGAGCCGCGGUAAUAAAGAGGGUGCAAGCGUUAAUCGGAAUUACUGGGCGUAAAGCGCACGUAGGUGGUUCAGUAAGAUGGGUGUGAAAUCCCCGGGCUUAACCUGGGAACUGCUUUCAUAACUGCUGAGCUAGAGUACGGUAGAGGGUAGUGGAAUUUCCUGUGUAGCGGUGAAAUGCGUAGAUAUAUGAAGGAACACCAGUGGCGAAGGCGACUACCUGGACUGAUACUGACACUGAGGUGCGAAAGCGUGGGGAGCAAACA
rnacentral:rRNA from 1 species